rnacentral:rRNA from 1 species
AGUGAACGCUGGCGGUAGGCCUAACACAUGCAAGUCGAACGGCAGCACAGCAAGAGCUUGCUCUUACGGGUGGCGAGUGGCGGACGGGUGAGGAAUACAUCGGAAUCUACUUUUUCGUGGGGGAUAACGUAGGGAAACUUACGCUAAUACCGCAUACGACCUACGGGUGAAAGCAGGGGAUCUUCGGACCUUGCGCGAUUGAAUGAGCCGAUGUCGGAUUAGCUAGUUGGCGGGGUAAAGGCCCACCAAGGCGACGAUCCGUAGCUGGUCUGAGAGGAUGAUCAGCCACACUGGAACUGGGACACGGUCCAGACUCCUACGGGAGGCAGCAGUGGGGAAUAUUGGACAAUGGGCGCAAGCCUGAUCCAGCCAUACCGCGUGGGUGAAGAAGGCCUUCGGGUUGUAAAGCCCUUUUGUUGGGAAAGAAAAGCAGCAGGUUAAUACCCCGCUGUUCUGACGGUACCCAAAGAAUAAGCACCGGCUAACUUCGUG